UAAAAAAAAAUCCUAAAAGUAAAAUUGUUAGUAUUUUGUUGAAAGAACAGCAGUGAAAUGUUUUGUUUUAGCUUUUAGGGCAAAGUUACAGGAAGACAACACAAUACUGAACAUUUUUUGUGUGACUAUUGUUUUUUUUCCCCCUCAGUUUUAACACUUAAGCAGCACCUACUGUUGCUUCAAACUCAAAACGACGCUCCUUCUGUAGAUUAAACUGUUAUUGUCUAACCUGAUAGGCCGUCGAAGCCGACAUAUAAUAUAGUUUUGAAAAAUUUGGGAAUUACUUUCCACACCAGGAUAAAAUUGGACACAAAGUCAACUAAUAAUGGAAAAAUAAUUAACUAUACAUAUUUUCUAACUUG